AGGUCUUCCAGCAGCUACUACACACACAUACACGCACACAGAGACGGCACUAUAGCAGGAGAUGAACAUCUGAUUUGUCACAUUUGAAACGCUAAUGUUUAAACCAAAAGGAAGAGCACACAGUAAUGUGUUCAUUCAUCUGCAUAAACACCACCUGUCCCGGCGCAGACAACUCCUCAAGCAGCAAAAGUUUAGCAGCAGCCGGCGCGGCGAGCCAAUCAGUGCGGGCCCAGCUGUGGUUUCACAAACCCGUAGCGUUUUCAAGUGUCAGAAAGCGCUCUGAGUACCGUCGGUGGUGCUGGAGAGAGAAUACUUUCAUUUCAUGUCAACCGCCAGCGAGACGAAUAGGCGACACGAUAACAACAAGAAAACAGGGCGAGACAUCACGAUUGACAUCCAAAGACUUCUUCCAUUGAGUCCGACUGAGCUUGGAGCGAUUCUGCGAAGGAUAGCUAAAGAUUUCUGCCUCUAUCUGUCCAAAGGUGGUAGAGACAUACCAAGAUGCUCCUGCUGCUGGAAGCCGGGAACAGACUGGCAGCCUGUCCGGUGUGUACUCUGCCACCUGCAGCUGGGGACGGCUCCGCAGCUGCCAUGACCCUGAGGAGGACGAUGGGGAUAUGAAUCAAAAUGAAGGUGGCACGGCCUGCAUCAGCUGCCACUACAAGACACAUUUGAUUAGCCGUUCAGAAUCUGAACUGUUUAAUUACAAGCUUAGAGUUGUAUUUAAUAUGAACUGCUUUCUGUUCUGUGCAAUGUUUAUUUACUUGCGUUGUAAUAUCUGUGUUGCUCAUGUACAGUUGUUAAAACUUGG